GUCCGCGACGAGCGCAACCCCUAUGUUAGUUGCCAUCAUUCAGUUGGGCACUCUAGCGAGACUGCCGGUAAUAAACCGGAGGAAGGUGGGGAUGACGUCAAAUCAUCAUGCCCCUUAUGACCUGGGCUACACACGUGCUACAAUGGUUGGUACAACGAGUUGCGAGUCGGUGACGGCGAGCUAAUCUCUUAAAGCCAAUCUCAGUUCGGAUUGUAGGCUGCAACUCGCCUACAUGAAGUCGGAAUCGCUAGUAAUCGCGGAUCAGCACGCCGCGGUCGAAUACGUUCCGGGCCUU
rnacentral:rRNA from 1 species